UAUGAUGACACACACAGAACUCCUUUCCUGCCACGGAGUAAAAUUGUUGACGUUUUGAAAGGGAUUGAUCUCCCAUCGGAAAGAGGUUUGAACUGUCCAGUCAACAUGAUGGACAACACAACAACAAUUAAGAAAAACAGGUGGCCCGUGCCCGAGGCAUAUUGGUAUCAUCCUCUGUUUGAUGACGAUCUUGAUCCAAUUCGCCCCUAUGUCGGAAGGGUUCUCCAAUAGAUGCUAUCGUUCUCCUUGUGUUUAUUAUGUAGUACUAAGUAUUUUCGGAGCUUAAAUUAGUU